GGGCGGUUAGCUCAGUUGGUUAGAGCGCUGCGUUGACAUCGCAGAGGUCAGAGGUUCAAAUCCUCUACUGCCCACCA
rnacentral:tRNA from 1 species